UACGUAGGGUGCAAGCGUUGUCCGGAAUUAUUGGGCGUAAAGAGCUCGUAGGCGGUCUGUCGCGUCGAAUGUGAAAACCCGGGGCUCAACUCCGGGCCUGCAGCCGAUACGGGCAGACUAGAGUUCGGCUGGAGGGAGUCGUGGAAUUCCUGGUGUAGCGGUGAAAUGACGCAGAUAUCAGGAGGAACACCGGUGGCGAAGGCGGGACUCUGGGCCGAUACUGACGCUGAGGAGCGAAAGCGUGGGGGAGCAAACAGG
rnacentral:rRNA from 1 species